rnacentral:rRNA from 1 species
CCUACGGGAGGCAGCAGUGAGGAAUAUUGGUCAAUGGACGAGAGUCUGAACCAGCCAAGUAGCGUGAAGGAUGACUGCCCUAUGGGUUGUAAACUUCUUUUAUAUGGGAAUAAAAUGUUCCACGUGUGGGAUUUUGUAUGUACCAUAUGAAUAAGGAUCGGCUAACUCCGUGCCAGCAGCCGCGGUAAUACGGAAGAUUCGAGCGUUAUCCGGGUUUAUUUGGUUUAAAGGGGUGGUAGGUGGAAUGUUAAGUUAGUCGUGAAACAUUGCGGCUCAAACGUAAAAUUGCCGUUGAAACUGGCGGUCUUGAGUGCAGUAGAGGUGGGCGGAAUUCGUGGUGUAGCGGUGAAAUGCUUAGAUAUCACGAAGAACUCCGAUUGCGAAGGCAGCUCACUGGACUGCAACUGACACUGAAGCUCGAAAGUGUGGGUAUCAAACAGGAUUAGAUACCCCAGUAGUC